rnacentral:rRNA from 1 species
AGAGUUUGAUCAUGGCUCAGAAUCAACGCUGGCGGCGUGCCUAACACAUGCAAGUCGAACGAGAAAGGGGAGCAAUCCCUGAGUAAAGUGGCGUACGGGUGAGUAACACGUGGGUAAUCUGCCUCUGGGUGGGGAAUAACUCUGGGAAACCGGAGCUAAUACCGCAUAAGCCUGAAAGGGGAAAGGCGAAAGUCGCCGAGAGAGGAGCCCGCGGCUGAUUAGCUAGUUGGUGGGGUAAAGGCUCACCAAGGCAAAGAUCGGUAGCCGGCCUGAGAGGGCACACGGCCACACUGGCACUGAAACACGGGCCAGACUCCUACGGGAGGCAGCAGUGGGGAAUCUUGCACAAUGGGGGAAACCCUGAUGCAGCGACGCCGCGUGAGCGAUGAAGCCCUUCGGGGUGUAAAGCUCUUUCGGCAGGGACGAUAAUGACGGUACCUGAAGAAGAAGCUGCGGCUAACUACGUGCCAGCCGCCGCGGUAAUUC